UGCACCUGGCAGACUAUUAUUCUGUCCUGGGAAAGGACGAUGAGAUGAGAGCUGUUUCCACUCUCUGCUCCAGGGCCCGGGUUGAGGUCUCAGAUGUGAAGCCCUGGAGUGAAAUGUCCCACAGGAGCCACCCCUGGGCCUGAGUUUGGGGCCUUACUUUGCAGAGGUUUGGCAGACAAGCUCACAGGCUUUACUCAUGUUUGGGGAGGAAAGAAGUGAUGCCAGAGUGAAGUAGCAAGAAGAAGAAUCGGUUGUGUUGAGUCAUGUCUGCUGCAGCUGUUUGUGGACUGGAUUGAAGCAGAAGUCGGGUCAGUUUUCAUCUGCCCGGACAAAAGCAACUACAACAUGUAUGGUUCCCACUGCCCCACCUCUUGCUCUGCAGCCUCCUCGGUGGGCAGUGCUGAGGGCUGCAUCUGCCUGGCUAACCUCAUCUCCAAUGGAACCGACUGCAUCCUGGCCUCAGCUUAUGGCUGCCUUGGCCCAGCAGCACCUACCACCCGGUGGGAGACGCCCGAUUUGAGGAGGAGCGCUUUGAGUGCUGUACGUGCCGUGGUCCCGGGGACCUGACAUGCAAGCACAGCCAGAGCCCGCCUUCAAGGACUGUUGGUUCCAGGACAGCAAGAAGGACUGCCAGCCCCCUGAGCCUGCUUUCAGAUGAAAGAAGCCAGAAAGCUCUCGACCAAAGACUGGAGGAACACACACACCAUUUGUGGCAGAAAAUGUUUACAUGAGCCCAUGUUACAAGAGAGCAAGACUGACAUGUUCCUGACACAACAGCCAGGUGGUUUGGAGAAUCACCCAAGAGCCAACAGAUCAGGGUUCAAGCUCUUCUGCACCUGAUUUAGGCUAGAGACUUGAACUGAAUUCUCUUACAACAUAGAUAAAUGCCCUCACCACUGGCCUGGUGGUUAUUUUGUGGAAGGAAGGCUUGUUCCAUCUUAGAUGUGAGCAAAUCUCAGAUGGGAGGGGGAAAGGCUGGGAAGGAGAUUUUCAUCUUUUAAACAAAUUCUCCCUAGAGGUGUGUUUUUUUGGUAUGUGUUGUGACUAGCCAUUGUCACCUUCAAGCUGUAUAUUAAGCUGCCUGCAGUGGAAGUUUAUCCAAUUUAAUAUUACCAGGUGGGUAGAUUGCAAUCUUAGCUUCAGUACCUGAUAGCAUGAAAUCAGGCUGCAAGCCCUGUGGAUAGCAACUUAAAUUCCUUAACUUGACAGCACCUAUUACCUUGGGUCUCUGGGUUUCUUAAAAACUGCAACAAUAAAAGAAUACCUUGAUUUUAUAUAUAUAUAUAUAUAUAUAUAUUCAUAUGCUCAAUAUUUAGUCUGUUAAAUGUAAUCAGGGUCUGGGGCUGGUGAUCUAGUAUAGGAUGUUCACACUUCUCCUUCUCUGCCAUAGCAUUGAGGGUCUCCUGGGGUUCAUCAAGCCUUGAGGGAGAGAUCUGACACCAGGAUAAUUAUUUUUUUCCCCUCUAAGUUCACUGGUGAGCCUUGGGCCCAAUUUCGCAAACACUUUCCAUUCCUCUGCACAACUGAAUUCAAGAUAAGCACGUGCGCGAGUGAGUGUGAAGUGUUGGUUUUCCUGGAGUAGAGAAUCUGCUGCUUUGAAAAUUUUAAGAUACAAUAUAAGGCAAACUAUUCAGCUAUGAGUAUAUUGACCCCUUUAUUGGGGAAGGCUUUAUGUUCACAGCAGAACGUGUAAAACUCUUAGUGUGUUUUGUUGAAUGACUGUUUUUUUUCCAAAAAACAAGCAGCUUUCAAGCCAUGAA